rnacentral:rRNA from 1 species
UACGUAGGGUGCAAUCGUUAAUCGGAAUUACUGGGCGUAAAGCGUACGCAGGCGGCUUUGCAAGACAGGUGUGAAAUCCCCGGGCCUAACCUGGGAACUGCAUUUGUGACUGCAUAGCUAGAGUUUGUCAGAGGGGGGUGGAAUUCCACGUGUAGCAGUGAAAUGCGUAGAUAUGUGGAGGAACACCGAUGGCGAAGGCAGCCCCCUGGGAUGUGACUGACGCUCAUGUACGAAAGCGUGGGGAGCAAACAGG